AUUUUGCGUUAAGGAUUGAAACGGCAUCCUUUUUUUGCAACUAACCACUAUGAUUAUAGCAAAAAAAGAUACAGUGAAAAGCCUGUAAAAAC
rnacentral:sRNA from 1 species